GGAAAGGUGCAGCUCAGUGGUAAGAGUACUUGCUCCGCAUGCAGAAAGUCCCGGGUUCAGUCCCUGGCAUCUCCU